UACGUAGGUGGCAAGCGUUGUUCGGAAUAACUGGGCGUAAAGGAUGCGUAGGCGGUUAAACAAGUUAUAUGUUAAAUAUAUAGGCUUAACCUGUAGAAAGCAUAUAAAACUGUUUAACUAGAGUGCAGGAGAGGUAAGUGGAAUUCCUAGUGUAGCGAUGAAAUGCGUAGAGAUUAGGAAGAACACCAGUGGCGAAGGCGACUUACUGGACUGUAACUGACGCUGAGGCAUGAGAGCAUGGGGAGCAAACAGG
rnacentral:rRNA from 1 species